AUUCUAAAUUUAUAAUAGAAUUUUAUUUUUUAGUCAAAAAGCUAAAAUAAAAUUAAAAGACGAGAAGACCCUAUAAAUCUUUAUAUAUAGAUUAUUAGAAUUUUGUAGAUUAUUUUUGUUAUAAUAAUUAAUUAUAUUUUAUUGGGGUGAUAUUAAAAUUUAAUAAACUUUUAAUUUUUGAAAUCAUUAAUUUAUGAAUAGUUGAUCCGUUAAUAACGAUUAAAAAAAUAAGUUACCUUAGGGAUAACAG
rnacentral:rRNA from 1 species